rnacentral:tRNA from 1 species
GGCUUUAUAGUCAAAAAUGACAUUAAAUUGCAAAUUUAAAGGAAUAUAAAUAUUAAAGCUU